rnacentral:SRP_RNA from 1 species
GCCAGGAAUGGUGGUACAUACUUGCAAUCCUAGCUCCUGGGAAGGUUGAGGCUGGUGGAACUUUUGAGCUUGUGAGUUCUGAGAUGCUGAUUGGGUGUCUGUACUAAGUACAGUAUCAAUAUGGUGAGCCCCUGGAAGUGGGGGGCCACCAAAUUGCUGAAGGAGGGGUGAACUGAUCUGGAUCAGAAAUAGAGCAGGUCAGAGCUUCAGUGCUUAUCAGUAAGGGGAUCAAGCCCUGUGCUUCCAGCCUGAGUGUGACAAGGAAACCCAAUCUUAA